ACAGCAACAUGGAGGUGGAGGUGGAGGUGGAGGUGGAGGAUGAGGAUCCAUACACUUCAAUCCUCCUCCUCCAAGAAGAAGUCAUCUGCUACCCAAUACAAUCUCUUCAACCUCAACCUCAACAACAACAACAACAUGCUAUUCUUCGUCUAAUCCAAGCAGACCAGACGGAGACCCUGCACGAGUGUUGCUUCAUCCACCAUUUUCCCCACGAUUACGGCGCCGUCAUUCCUCCUCAAUCUCUCCCUGACUAUCUCUGCCUCACUCCUACCACCAUUACCCACAAUGAUUAUGAUAAUGAUCACAAUGAGAAUGAGAAUACCCCCGUUGUCCCCCUACCCUUGUUGACGGAGACGCAUCCUCCUUGUUUUGUGUCCUACCAAAUCCUAUCCCCAACACCCUCACCACAACCUCCUCCUGUACAAUGACAGCUUGAGGAGCAGGAGUGUCUCUGCCUUUCACAAUUGCCACGACUAGAGGGAUUUUUCCACCAGGUAAAUCCAUCUCUCUCCUUUUUCACUGACUUUAGGGCUAUUCCCAAUUUACAAUCACUUUGGAUGGGAAAGAAAACCCUUUUCUCAUGAUUUUAUAAUUUGGGUGAGAAAUAGUGAGAAAAUUAACUCUUUUAUUAAGUCCAUUGCAUUUCUCACCACUUUUGGUUAGAUUUGCUAAGAAAUAAAUUGAUUGGUUAAAAUGCAAAGAGAAAAAAAUAAAAAUAAAUACUCAUGUUCCUCUAUUACAUUAUUUAAUUUUUUAAUCAUUCAAACUACAUGAUAGUGACACAAUAAUUUCUUUUCUUUUCACGAUCCAAAUGGAGAAACUUUUUGGCUUCUCAUCCUCAUCCAAAUCAAUACCCCCCAAAAAAAAAGAAAAAUUCUUGAGAGAGGGAAUUUAACUCUUUCGAUAAUGCACUUUGAACAUGGAUUUAUCAACAAUUUGAAAGUGCCCUUGUAAUGUGCAACUCACAAAUGGUAGAGGAGAGUGAGAGAGUUUGGUGAGGCAUCAAAUGAAGCAGUUGGUGACCACAUUACAAAAUGUAGUUUCAGAGCACAUGCUUAAAUCUUCUACACUACUGGGCAGUGCAGUGUAUUGACAAAGGAGAAGAUUAAGCAAGCAUUCAAAAUGAUUUCAAGAUAGUUCAAGAAUCCUAAUUUCGAGAUGUAAGAAUUUUGUGAUAUGAUCUUAUAAUUGUGGGUAUUUUGGGACAGGACAGGAGAACAGAGGGACUUUGGAAUCCCAUGUUUUCAAGAUAUCUCUCAUAGCUCAACAAUUAUAUCUAUCUUGGAUGGGAUUAAAUUUAGUGCUGAUCUUUUAGUUAUAAUGCUUAUCUACUACUUAAUAUCUCUAACUUGACAAAAAAUUAGCUUAAACAAACUUACAUCAUGGGUGGACUAUCUAUGUGUGAAGGAGUGAGAGUGAGAGUGAGAGAGGUGCACACACAAUCAACACAAUCACAAGGCACUGAAAGAAAAGCCAACCAACCGUUUGACCAGUGGGCCCAUCACAACCUCCCUUGGAUGCAAUGGAAAUGAGAAUCUUUGGUAGGAGGCAUAAGUGGGAAAAGCACAGUCCAAAGCUACUCUGCCUAAUCAAUAAUCUCCAUUUGUUCUCAAUACGCUCCUUCUACUCUCUCUCUCAUCACUAUGUUAGUUUUCCUUAAAUAAUUCUAGAGUCCCUACUAUUUUUCCAUAUGACAAAUAUGUCCUUGUAAAAGGAAAUUAAUCUAAUAGAAUUUUUUUUUGUAGCGUAGGUCUAAGUUAUGUGUCAGACGCUUAGGUUGUGUUUGAAUUUUGUAAGUGACAAAAAUAUAAGCUAAAUUUGUCACUUUUUUUCCUCUACAAAUCCUUAUUUAAAUUCUAAAAUUCAAACACAACCUUGAGAUUUAGUUCGUGUGAAUUUUUAAUUUCUAUUUAAAAAAAACAAAAAAACUGAUCUUUGAUUGGAUAGGACUUGUAUGUACUUCAUUUAGAAAAGUUACUAACACUAAAAAAAAAAAAUGCAGAGAAAAUGAAAUGUAUGGUUUAGAUUCAAAUUUGAUAUGAUGUGGAUCCUACCCAAGUUGAAAUUGCGCCAACCUAUUUCAUUUUUUCUGCAAUUUUUUUUUGGUGGUGUUCAUGGCAUUGUUGUGUUUUGUCAUUUUGAGAGGACAUUGUUGGCAUUGUAGUUUAACCAAAGGGUAAAUGGUUGCAAAAGUUUAUAUAUUUUAGUACAAAGAAGGCUUUCUGUCUUCAUGGAUGUUGCUCUCUGCUAAGUAGGAUGCUUUUUGGUGUUUAGCAUUGCAGCAUUAGUUUAUUAGUGGAGGGAGGUUGGGAAUGAGAAUAUAUACAUAUUUAUAUACAAAUAUAUAUAUUUUUAUGUGUAUAGAAGGGAAGGUUGUGAAGGAGCUAUGUGGAGAUGGAAAGAUGGAAGGGGUGGAUGAUGAGUUUCAACUUCAAGAAAUCACUUCGCUUGCCAAUAAAGAGCAUGUUUGUUAAGGACAAUUCAUGCCUCACAUACGAGGCCCAAGGGAAUGGGCAUGGAUUGGUUAGUCUUUACAAGGACAUGGAAGCUUGUGAAGGAUAUGCAGACAUACAAGUGAUGUGGGAGAUGAUUCACUCUUCGCACCCACCUAUUGGUCGUAAAAACAGAAAUAGCAAGAGGGCUUCUCAAUGGAGAUUAUUAUUAUGUUUCAAGCCAACGUAAAUAUUGUCUACCCUUUUGAAAAAGAAAAAAAAAAAAACAGGUUUUGGAUAGUUUUGAUACACAUUGUGUUUUGUGUCACUUUUUUUGGAUUUAAUUUGCAGCAGUGUACAAAAUUCUCUGAUACAUCUUUUUGAAGAUUAUAGAUUUCUCUGAUACAUCAUUUUGAUCCAA